GUGCUUGACGCGACACGUUAUAAUGUUCGACAUUUGUGCAAGGGUAUUUCAAUAUCCAUUGAUAUGACAAAGAGAGAAAAUUUAACUUCGACGUUCUGUGAUAUUGAUGUAUGCCGCCUUUCCAUGGGCAUGAAAACAAUCGAGCCUUUAAUAACAAAGGCACUCAAACAUAUGAUACAAAAAAAGUUAAAUGAACUAUCAUGGAUAAUUUUGCAGUCAAAGGGCAGUAACUGAGUAAAUGCUAAACUCAACGUUAAUAAGAGUUGUCUAACUAGUUAAACAAGCUUUAUUUGACUAGAGAGUGGCCUCACAUUAUUUGUACGAUUUGACCUGGUGAUUGAAAGCACGUCGACUCCGGUCCAGAUAUUAUCUAGGUUGCAUUGAUGGCACACACGUCCGCAUACUGUCUCCAGGCUCCCCUGCUGAGAGAGACUAUGCUAACCGGAAAAACUUCCAUAGCAUCAAUGUGCAAGUGACAUGUAACAGCCGAGGUCUUAUCACCAGCACCAAUGCAGCAUGGCCGGGAGCUGCACACGAUGCCCAUGUCUUAAGAAGUUCAGCGAUAGGAACGUAUUUAGAUCGGCAUCACCGAAGUUUGGAAAAUGGUGUUCUUCUUGGGGACAGUGGGUAUCCCUGUCGCACGUUCCUGCUGACACCGUAUCUAAACGCUACUAACGCUGUCCAAGAACGGUACAAUGACAGUCACAGCAAGACACGAUGCUGCACUGAGCGCCCCUUUGGUGUUUGGAAGAGACGCUUUCAUAUCCUUCACGCUGAGGUAUGGGCGAUUUGUAGUUUACUGUAUGCUUACAUAUUUUAUUCAAUACACAUAAUGGUACUGAC